ensembl:lncRNA
AAUGUUUGACAAAUACAUGAAAAAGCUUCCAUGAAUGUUUUUCUUAGAAUAUUCCUAAAUAACGUUCAACUUACGUUGUAUUUUGGGUGAAAAUAGAAAAAACAGAAUCCUGUAAGAAAAGUUUUUGUAACUUUUAAAUAACAUCUUAAUCACGAUGGAUCUGGAAGAGCUGAAAUGCAACUGGUGUGCAGGUUUGGGCCUGCAGAUAUACUCCCUGAAGAGAGUGCGAGAGAGAAUCAGUGUGAACGUCUGAUGGUUUUGUGUGUCUGCUGUGUGUAACGUGAGUGGCUCAGUGAAAGAGCUGCACGGUUUCCUCCGGGUUUACUUCAUUACCGGAGCUCAUAAGAGCUGCUGGGUUUGUCGUGUAAAAUCAUUCUUCAGAUUAGCAGCACCGCGGUCAUCUGGAGCUCAUAAACACGCAGCGUAAAAAGAUACGGUGCUUUUUAAAGGCGUGAGAUCUCCAUCUGAGCCGGUUACUGGAGCACGAGUCUCUCUCUGAAUCAGCAGCAGUCGUGUGAACAGAUGGAAAAACGGUCCACAGAGCGUCCGGAGGGAAUGUGACACGUCCCGCUGGAGUUUAUCAUCUGCUCAACCUCCAGUUAUCCAGACUGAACCACAGUCACUCCUCCAACUGCUGUUAUCACUAAACACACACACACAGUUCCUGCUGGAGUCCUUUCAUACACCCACACUAGACUAUACACACUACACACUACACACAACACGCUAGACACUACACACUGUACACUACACGCUAGACACUGAACACUAGACACUGCACACUGAACACUACACACUAGACACUGCACACUACACGCUAGACACUGCACACUAGACACUACACACUAGACACUGCACACUACACACUAGACACUACACACUACACACUAGACACUGCACACAGAACACUACACACUAGACACUGAACACUAGACAUUAUGUACUGAACACUACCCACUAGACAUUACACACUGAACGCUACACACUAGACACUGCACACUGCACACUACACACUAGACACUGAACACGACACACUAGACACUGAACACUAGACAUUAUGUACUGAACACUACCCACUGGACAUUACACACUGAACGCUACACACUAGACACUGCACACUGCACACUACACACUAGACACUGAACACUACACACUAGACAUUAUGCACUGAAUACCACUCACUAGACACUGCAUACUAGACAUUGCACACUACACACUAGACACUGAACACUACACACUAGACAUUAUGCACUGAACACUACACACUAGACACUGAACACUACACACUAGACACUAUGCACUGAAUACUACACACUAGACACUGCAUACCAGACAUUGCACACUACACACUAGACACUGAACACUGCACACUAGACAUUAUGCACUGAAUACUACACACUAGACACUGCACACUAGACACUGCACACUGAACACUACACACUAGACAACGCACACUGUACACUGCAUACUGCACACUAGACAAUGCAUACUAAUCACUGUGUACUACCUACUUUACACUGCAUACUACACACUGUAUACUGCAUAGUACAUAC